GCUUAACACAUGCAAGUCGAGGGGCAGCAUGGUCUUAGCUUGCUAAGGCCGAUGGCGACCGGCGCACGGGUGAGUAACACGUAUCCAACCUGCCGUCUACUCUUGGACAGCCUUCUGAAAGGAAGAUUAAUACAAGAUGGCAUCAUGAGUUCACAUGUUCACAUGAUUAAAGGUAUUCCGGUAGACGAUGGGGAUGCGUUCCAUUAGAUAGUAGGCGGGGUAACGGCCCACCUAGUCUUCGAUGGAUAGGGGUUCUGAGAGGAAGGUCCCCCACAUUGGAACUGAGACACGGUCCAAACUCCUACGGGAGGCAGCAGUGAGGAAUAUUGGUCAAUGGGCGAGAGCCUGAACCAGCCAAGUAGCGUGAAGGAUGACUGCCCUAUGGGUUGUAAACUUCUUUUAUAAAGGAAUAAAGUCGGGUAUGGAUACCCGUUUGCAUGUACUUUAUGAAUAAGGAUCGGCUAACUCCGUGCCAGCAGCCGCGGUAAUACGGAGGAUCCGAGCGUUAUCCGGAUUUAUUGGGUUUAAAGGGAGCGUAGAUGGAUGUUUAAGUCAGUUGUGAAAGUUUGCGGCUCAACCGUAAAAUUGCAGUUGAUACUGGAUAUCUUGAGUGCAGUUGAGGCAGGCGGAAUUCGUGGUGUAGCGGUGAAAUGCUUAGAUAUCACGAAGAACUCCGAUUGCGAAGGCAGCCUGCUAAGCUGCAACUGACAUUGAGGCUCGAAAGUGUGGGUAUCAAAC
rnacentral:rRNA from 1 species